CCUCAGGUGCUGUGGCUGGUGUUAGGGGCCACUGGGUGCCUGUCUUAAGCAUCGAGGGGGAGGACAGUUCAGACUGCUUUUCUGUUUUAUUUCCUCCUUUCCUAAUCAAGGUACUGAAGUCCUGCAGCUCCACCUGUGCAGCUCUGGGACUCAGAGCACUCAUUCAUUUUACACUGGUGCCUCAGGCGCCGUUUGUAGGUAGUGGUCCUGGUGGCACUCAAGAUGAUGUAAAAUCCCUACAGUCUCUUUCUAAAUGCCUCCUGCCUCUCUGGGAUCUGUUGCACUGCAGGCCGUGUUUUAACAGAAUCUGCUGGGCUGGAAGGUGCAGCUGUUCCAGUCACAUUCACAGAGGGCUCAUGCUAAAUGUAAGCCCACAUGAUGUUUCUUCGUCCGUGAUUUGUCUUGUGCUUUGUCUGGGAAUUCAGACUGUGUGCCUUGGCCUGACUCUGUCAUAUAAUAUAUAUUUAAUCCUGGUUUCUUUGCAGAGACUUCCUAGGGAACAGGAAGCAAAAGGAGAGUCUUGGUGAGACAACGUGUAGGGAGAGCUGGCAGCCAGCCAAAAGCUCCAUCCAGCUACCAGAAGUUUCUUGGUUCUGGCUGACUGUUGUGCCCCACACCAGACUCCAGAAUGUCAGUGUCACUGGAUUACACCAUUCUGCUGGGGAAGUCUGUUCAAGUUUCUGUUCAGAUCCUCAGGAAGAAGAUUAUUCCCUGGCACGAAGCAAUAUCCUGCUUCUCCCUUCAGAGAUCUCUGAGGAGGAGUGGUUCUUCUGAGUCUCAUCUCAGUCUGAAGCACUUCCUCAACAUGCACCACAAAAAGCAAGAG